CAUAUGCUUGUCUCAAAGAUUAAGCCAUGCAUGUCUGAGUACAGACCGAUCUAAGGUGAAACCGCGAAUGGCUCAUUAAAUCAGUCGUAAUUUCUUGGAUAGUGAAAAACUUUCCUCGGAUAACUGUGGAAAAUCCAGAGCUAAUACGUGCAACUGAGCUCCGACCUAGGCGCAAGCCUUGGGAAGAGCGCAUUUAUUAGAUUCAAAACUGACCGGUGUACUCCUUCGGGAUACACCGAUUGUCAAAUGUUUGAUGACUCCGGAUAACUUAGCCGAGCGCUACGGUCUUCAGUACCGGCGCCGUAUCUUUCAAGUGUCUGCCUUAUCAGCUUUCGAUUGUAGGUUAAACGCCUACAAUGGCUGUAACGGGUAACGGGGAAUCAGGGUUCGAUUCCGGAGAGGGAGCCUGAGAAACGGCUACCACAUCUAAGGAAGGCAGCAGGCACGCAAAUUACCCACUCCCAGCCCGGGGAGGUAGUGACGAAAAAUAACGAUGCGAGACUCUUCCGAGGCCUCGCAAUCGGAAUGAGUCCAUUCUAAAUCUUUGGACGAGGAUCCAUUGGAGGGCAAGUCUGGUGCCAGCAGCCGCGGUAAUUCCAGCUCCAAUAGCGUAUAUUAAAGUUGCUGCGGUUAAAAAGCUCGUAGUUUGACUUUCUAGAUCCAUUUCGUGGGCGAGUCGCUAGUUGCGCUAGUAUCUUGUGUCAGUCGCUCGGUAAUGUUGCGUCUUGGCUCGGGUUUCUCUCUCUACUACGCAUGCGCGUGGGGGUUCGCUCUCGCGUUGUCACGCUAGUAGUAGGGUUUCUCGCAGUCUUUUCGCGUUUGCAAAAUCGAGAGUGUACGGCGAGACGCUGCCUUCCGGUAUAGCUCGUCCGCGUUUGGUACAAUUAACUUUUUGUCGGCUCGCUCGGAGUGCUCUUUACCGAGUGUUCCAGGGUGGCCGACACGUUCACUUUGAAAAAAUUAGAGUGCUUAAAGCGGGCUUAUACGCGGCCUGGAUGUCUGUGCAUGGAAUGAAAUAACAGGACCUCGAUUCUGUUCUUUUUGUCGGUUUUAAUGAACCGAGGUAAUGAUUAAAAGGGACAGACGGUGGCAUUAGUAUUGCGACGCUAGAGGUGAAAUUCUUGGACCGUCGCAAGACUAACUACUGCGAAAGCAUUUGCCGAGAAUGUUUUCAUUAAUCAAGAACGAAAGUUAGAGGAUCGAAGGCGAUCAGAUACCGCCCUAGUUCUAACCCUAAACUAUGCUAACUAGCGAUCCGCCGAAGUCAUUCCCACGACUCGGCGGGAAGCCCCAGGGAAACCAAAGUCUUUGAGUUCCGGGGGAAGUAUGGUUGCAAAGCUGAAACUUAAAGGAAUUGACGGAAGGGCACCACCAGGAGUGGAGCCUGCGGCUUAAUUUGACUCAACACGGGAAACCUCACCAGGCCCGGACAUCAUAAGGAUUGACAGAUUGAGAGCUCUUUCUCGAUUUGAUGGGUGGUGGUGCAUGGCCGUUCUUAGUUGGUGGAGUGAUCUGUCUGGUUGAUUCCGAUAACGAACGAGACUCUACCCUACUAACUAGUCGGCGGAUCGUAACCCUGAGAUGGUUAGUUUGUAUAGGAGAGUUUUGCCCAGGCAAAGUUCUCUCGAUGAUGGUGGGUUGCUCUCAGCUUUUUGCUAUUUAGGUAGCAUGGGCGAAGGAGGGACUUCCCUGUCGGGUGUAACGAUGUCGAAGCUGCUCUCUGAUUACUACUACUGCUGGGGGCGUCCGUCGCAAUGUAUCUUCUUAGAGGGAUCAGCGGCGUCUAGCGCACGAGAAAGAGCAAUAACAGGUCUGUGAUGCCCUUAGAUGUUCUGGGCCGCACGCGCGCUACAAUGUAGAGACCAGCGUGCUCUCCCCCUCCGAAAGGAGCGGGUAACCCGUUGAAACCCCUACCCGAUUGGGAUUGGGGAUUGCAAAUAUUUCCCAUAAACGAGGAAUUCCCAGUAAGCGCGAGUCAUCAAGUCGCGCUGAUUACGUCCCUGCCCUUUGUACACACCGCCCGUCGCUACUACCGAUUGAAUGAUUCAGUGAGGGCAUCGGACUGGCGCCUUCGGUUUAGUAACCUAGACCUUAGGCUGACGGAAAGAUGUCCGAACUUUAUCAUUUAGAGGAAGUAAAAGUCGUAACAAGGUUUCCUAG
rnacentral:rRNA from 1 species